AUUUUGAGAUUAUAUUUUAAUAAGAAAUUUUUUUAAACGGCUGCAAUUAAUAGUUGUGCUAAGGUAGCGUAAUCAUUUGCCCCUUAAUUAGGGGAAGGUAUGAAUGGUUUGACGUGGGAAGAGCUGUCUCUUUUGUAUAAAAAGAAGUUUAUUUUUGAGUGAAAAAGCUUAAAUGUUUUUAAAAGACGAGAAGACCCUAUCGAACUUGAAUUAUGUACUAAUAUUUAUGGGUGCAAAAAAUUUAGUUGGGGAAACUUAAAGUUAAAAAGAACGCUUUUUUGUUGUAAAAUGAUCCUGUAUUAUGGAAAAAUGAAAAAGUUACCGUAGGGAUAACAGCGCUUUCUUCUCUGAGAGGACUAAUUAAAGAGUUGGUUGCGACCUCGAUGUUGGAUUAAGGUUUCUUUUUGGGGUAGG
rnacentral:rRNA from 1 species